GGAAAUCUAUAUUCUUCUUCUUCUGCUUCUUCCUAUUAACCACUUUUUCUGAGUUGUAGGUAUCGAUCUGUGUCUUGUACUUUGAGAUGCUUUGAUAGUCAAUCUGGUUUUGUCAUUACCAUGUUCCAUCUUGAGAAACAGCUGGGUGUUGACAGUUAUCAGCCUUUAUUCUCCUUCACAUUUGCAGGUUCAGAUGUCAGAUCAUGAUUCAGUCUGUUACGUGGCUAUGAUUCUGGUAUCUUUUCUGUCGUCCUCUGUUUGUUUUAUCUUGUCAUCUUUAACAGCAUUCACUGUCUCAGUCAGUGGUUCUGUGAACGUCCCGUUAGUAUUUAGCAGGUUGUAAAAUAUCAAAACUUACUGUUCUCUGUUGGCUCUGAUUGUUUUCUGUAGUAAAAGUUCUCGGAGUCACCCUCUACAGGACAAGCUGGCCAACAGUAGGAAAUAG